UACGGAGGGUGCAAGCGUUGUCCGGAUUUAUUGGGUUUAAAGGGUGCGUAGGCGGCCCGUUAAGUCAGUGGUGAAAGCCUCCAGCUCAACUGGAGAACUGCCAUUGAUACUGAUGAGCUUGAGUACAGUUGAGGUGGGCGGAAUGUGUCAUGUAGCGGUGAAAUGCUUAGAUAUGACACAGAACACCGAUUGCGAAGGCAGCUCGCUAAACUGUAACUGACGCUGAGGCACGAAAGCGUGGGGAGCGAACAGG
rnacentral:rRNA from 1 species